AGCUUUGCGCAGUGGCAGUUUUGUAGCCAAUGAGGUUUAUAUGAGGUGUGAUUAUUGCUAAUUGAAAACUUUUCCCAAUACCUCGCCAUGACGACUUGAAAUAAAAAAGAACUUGUGGUUUAGUUUUAUUGAAAAAACAAAAUGUG